rnacentral:lncRNA from 1 species
AGUUUGCUUUUAUUAAUCAAGAACUUCCCCAGGUGAAUAUGAGAUGAGAUUCAGACUCCACUUUGUGCCAUGCUACUCUGCUUCCCUAUAAGAAACAGUAAACACCAUGAUUAAAACCAAGGAACUAUGCACAAGAUAUCUUUCAGCUUAUUUUUUAUCUUCAGGUUUCACAAUUAAAAGGUAAAGAGGACUUCCAAACAUUUGUCACUCCAGGAAUAUGAACGUUUCAGAAGUUACAACCCUGGAAGUGAUCAGUUGCUGCCUGUUAACAAACCAUUCCCCCAGUUGCAUACCUGGGAUGAAAAUGAUGGCUGACUUGUUGGUUGAAUCCAUGGAUGUGGGAGCUGAG